UACGAAGGGGGCUAGCGUUGUUCGGAAUUACUGGGCGUAAGGCGCGCGCAGGCGGCCAUUCAAGUCAGGGGUGGAAGCCCAGAGCUCAACUCUGGAACUGCCCUUGAAACUGUAUGGCUUGAGUAUGAGAGAGGUGAGUGGAAUUCCCAGUGUAGAGGUGAAAUUCGUAGAUAUUGGGAAGAACACCGGUGGCGAAGGCGGCUCACUGGCUCAUUACUGACGCUCAGGCGCGACAGCGUGGGGAUCAAACAGG
rnacentral:rRNA from 1 species